rnacentral:rRNA from 1 species
AGUGAACGCUGGCGGUAGGCCUAACACAUGCAAGUCGAACGGCAGCACAGUAAGAGCUUGCUCUUACGGGUGGCGAGUGGCGGACGGGGGAGGAAUACAUCGGAAUCUACUUUUUCGUGGGGGCUAACGUAGGGAAACUUACGCUAAUACCGCAUACGACCUACGGGUGAAAGCAGGGGAUCUUCGGACCUGGCGCGAGUGGAUGAGCCGAUGUCGGAUUAGCUAGGUGGCUGGGUAAAGGCCCACCAAGGCGACGAUCCGCAGCUGGGCUGAGAGGACGAGCAGCAACACUGGGAGGGAGACACGGGUCGGAAAUCUACGGGAGGGAGCAGAGGGGAAUAUUGGACAAUGGGCGUAGGUCAGAACGACCUAUGCUGUGUAAGGGAUUUUGGCCGGAGAGAAAAAAAGCCCGUUUAACCCCGAGGAUUAUGACAGUACCGAAAGAAUAAACCCCGGCUAAAUCCGUG